rnacentral:rRNA from 1 species
GAGUUUGAUCCUGGCUCGGACGAACGCUGGCGGCGUGCUUACACAUGCAAGUCGAGCGAGAGCAGUUGAGGGGUACCCUCGGCUGUGGACAGCGGCGAACGGGUGCGUAACACGUGGGCAAAACUGCCCCUGACACUGGGAUAACCCCGGGAAACCGGAGCUAAUACCGGAUACUCUCGGCCGAUCACAUGGCUGGCCGAGGAAAGGUCCGCCGGUCAGGGAUGGGCCCGCGGCCUAUCAGCUUGUUGGUGGGGUAACGGCCUACCAAGGCGACGACGGGUAGCUGGUCUGAGAGGACGACCAGCCACACUGGAACUGAGAUACGGUCCAGACUCCUACGGGAGGCAGCAGUGGGGAAUAUUGCACAAUGGGCGAAACCCUGAUGCAGCGACGCCGCGUGAGCGAUGAAGCCCUUCGGGGUGUAAAGCUCUUUCGUCAGGGAAGAUAGUGACGGUACCUGGAGAAGCAGCUGCGGCUAACUACGUGCCAGCAGCCGCGGUAAUACGUAGGCAGCAAGCGUUGUUCGGAGUUACUGGGCGUAAAGGGUGUGUAGGCGGUUCUUUAAGUUUGCUGUGAAAUCUCCCGGCUUAACCGGGAGGGUGCGGUGAAUACUGAGGGACUAGAGUACGGGAGAGGAAAGUGGAAUUCCUGGUGUAGCGGUGAAAUGCGUAGAUAUCAGGAGGAACACCGGUGGUGUAGACGGCUUUCUGGACCGUAACUGACGCUGAGACACGAAAGCGUGGGUAGCAAACAGGAUUAGAUACCCUGGUAGUCCACGCCCUAAACGAUGCAUAUUUGGUGUGGGCAGUUCAUUCUGUCCGUGCCGGAACUAACGCGUUAAAUAUGCCGCCUGGGGAGUACAGUCGCAAGGCUGAAACUCAAAGGAAUUGACGGGGGCCCGCACAAGCGGUGGAGCAUGUGGUUCAAUUCGACGCAACGCGAAGAACCUUACCUGGGCUCGAACGGCUUCUCAACGCCGGUGGAAACACUGGUAUCCCGCAAGGGAGUGGAGUCGAGGUGCUGCAUGGCUGUCGUCAGCUCGUGUCGUGAGAUGUUGGGUUAAGUCCCGCAACGAGCGCAACCCCUGUCCUGUGUUGCCAUCAUUCAGUUGGGAACUCGCAGGAGACCGCCAGCGAUAAGCUGGAGGAAGGUGGGGAUGACGUCAAGUCCUCAUGGCCUUUAUGUCCAGGGCUACACACGUGCUACAAUGGACGGUACAAAGCGCAGCAAACCCGCGAGGGGGAGCCAAUCGCAAAAAACCGUUCUCAGUUCGGAUUGCAGGCUGCAACUCGCCUGCAUGAAGCUGGAAUCGCUAGUAAUGGCAGAUCAGCACGCUGCCGUGAUACGUUCCCGGGCCUUGCACACAC